CGAGGGUUUCACUUUGCCUGAGAGUCCUGUUGGUGCCCUUCUUCUUCCUCGAGAGUUUCGUUCUACUCCAGAGUCCCUCUUGGCCUUAGGCGUUCUUCGAGUCGGCCCCCAUCUCUACAUCUCUCGGACCAGCCUAGGUUAGUUCCAGAACUCUCCUCUUUUUUUUUGGCUCUGUUUCUAAGCAGUGCCGAUCUUCUUUCGUUGCAGAUAUAGAUGCGAACGCGGCUUGGAUGUUAGCUAAGAGUCUCAAGGCCCAC
rnacentral:lncRNA from 1 species